AGAGAAGACUAAAGGGUAACGAACGAAAAUGUAUUAACGUUUCGGCUUUCUGACGAAGGCUUCUCCGAAGCCGAAACGUUAAUACAUUUUCGUUCGUUACCCUUUAGUCUUCUCU
rnacentral:pre_miRNA from 1 species